CCUACGGGAGGCAGCAGUGAGGAAUAUUGGUCAAUGGGCGUAAGCCUGAACCAGCCAAGUCGCGUGAGGGAUGAAGGUUCUAUGGAUCGUAAACCUCUUUUAUAAGGGAAUAAAGUGUGGGACGUGUCCUGUUUUGUAUGUACCUUAUGAAUAAGGAUCGGCUACCUCCGUGCCAGCAGCCGCGGUAAUACGGAGGAUCCGAGCGUUAUCCGGAUUUAUUGGGUUUAAAGGGUGCGUAAGCGGCCUUUUAAGUCAGCGGUGAAAGUCUGUGGCUCAACCAUAGAAUUGCCGUUGAAACUGGGAGGCUUGAGUAUGUUUGAGGCAGGCGGAAUGCGUGGUGUAGCGGUGAAAUGCUUAGAUAUCACGCAGAACCCCGAUUGCGAAGGCAGCCUGCCAAGCCAUGACUGACGCUGAUGCACGAAAGCGUGGGGAUCAAACAGGAUUAGAUACCCGGGUAGUC
rnacentral:rRNA from 1 species